UUCGAAAACUUGCUAAUCGAAUCAUAUUUUCCUCGUCGAUUGGAAUUUCUGACUUUAAACUCUGAAAGAUCUAUACGCGAAUGGAACUCAUUACCCUCAGACAUUUUUAAUUUCUACUGUGGUCGGCUGUGUCCAAAUUAGGAUUGCCAAAUGGAAAACGUUAUCUUUAUCAUGAGCUUGUUGGUUAAGCAAGUGUCUUCAACUAUAUUUUGCCAAGAAAAUGAACAACAUAGUAUG